AGUGAACGCUGGCGGUAGGCCUAACACAUGCAAGUCGAACGGCAGCACAGUAAGAGCUUGCUCUUACGGGUGGCGAGUGGCGGACGGGUGAGGAAUACAUCGGAAUCUACUUUUUCGUGGGGGAUAACGUAGGGAAACUUACGCUAAUACCGCAUACGACCUGCGGGUGAAAGCGGGGGACCUUCGGACCUUGCGCGAUUGAAUGAGCCGAUGUCGGAUUAGCUAGUUGGCGGGGUAAAGGCCCACCAAGGCGACGAUCCGUAGCUGGUCUGAGAGGAUGAUCAGCCACACUGGAACUGAGACACGGUCCAGACUCCUACGGGAGGCAGCAGUGGGGAAUAUUGGACAAUGGGCGCAAGCCUGAUCCAGCCAUACCGCGUGGGUGAAGAAGGCCUUCGGGUUGUAAAGCCCUUUUGUUGGGAAAGAAAAGCAGCAGGUUAAUACCCCGCUGUUCUGACGGUACCCAAAGAAUAAGCACCGGCUAACUUCGUG
rnacentral:rRNA from 1 species